rnacentral:rRNA from 1 species
GCCUCUUGACCAACCAUAAGAGGUCAAGCCUGCCCAGUGACAUUGUUCAACGGCCGCGGUAUCCUAACCGUGCGAAGGUAGCGUAAUCACUUGUUCUUUAAAUGAGGACUAGUAUGAACGGCUUCACGAAUGCUAUACUGUCUCCUUUAUCCGAUCAGUUAAACUAAUCUCCCCGUGAAGAAGCGGGGAUUUACCUAUAAGACGAGAAGACCCUAUGGAGCUUUAAACACUCUUAAACAUUUGAACCCUUAUUUCUUUACACCAAAAAACCACUAAACCCCUCAUUUUGUUUAAACUUUUAGGCUGGGGUGACCACGGACAACAACCUAACCUCCACGUGGAAAGAAACUUAACUCUAAGCAAAAAGCCACAUCUUUAUGCAUCAAUAAUAUUGACCUAAAUUGACCCAAUUAUUUGAUCAACGAACCAAGUUACCCUAGGGAUAACAGCGCAAUCCGCCUUAAGAGCUCCUAUCGACAGGCGGGCUUACGACCUCGAUGUUGGAUCAG